rnacentral:rRNA from 1 species
CUACGGGGCGCAGCAGUGAGGAAUUUUGCGCAAUGGGGGAAACCCUGACGCAGCAACGCCGCGUGAGUGAUGAAGGCCUUCGGGUCGUAAAGCUCUGUCAAGUGGGAAGAAAAUACGAGAUGCUAAUACCAUUUCGUACUGACGGUACCACUGAAGGAAGCACCGGGUAACUCCGUGCCAGCAGCCGCGGUAAUACGGGGGGUGCAAGCGUUAUUCGGAAUUAUUGGGCGUAAAGAGCGCGUAGGCGGCCUUUUAAGUCAGAUGUGAAAGCCCGGGGCUUAACCUUGGAAGUGCAUUUGAUACUAAGGGGCUUGAGUAUGGGAGAGGGAAGUGGAAUUCCUGGUGUAGAGGUGAAAUUCGUAGAUAUCAGGAGGAACACCGGUGGCGAAGGCGACUUCCUGGACCAAUACUGACGCUGAGGCGCGAAGGCGUGGGGAGCAAACAGGAUUAGAUACCCGGGUAGUC